CCUACGGGAGGCAGCAGUGGGGAAUAUUUCACAAUGGGGGAAACCCUGAUGCAGCGACGCCGCGUGAGUGAAGAAGUAAUUCGUUAUGUAAAGCUCUAUUAUCAGGGAAGAAAAUGACGGUACCUGAGUAAGAAGCCCCGGCUAACUACGUGCCAGCAGCCGCGGUUAUACGUAGGGGGCAAGCGUUAUCCGGAUUUACUGGGUGUAAAGGGUGCGUUGUCGGCAGUGAAAGUUUGAGGUGAAAGGCGGGUGCUAAACCCACAGACUGUUCUGGAAACUGUUCGGAUUGAGUGCGGGAGAGGUAAGUGGAAUUUCUAGUGUAGCAGUGAAAUGCGUAGAUAUUAGGAGGAACACCGAUAGCGAAGGCAGGUUACUGGGCUGGAACUGACGCUGAGGCACGAAAGCGUAGGGAGCAAACGGGAUUAGAUACCCGAGUAGUC
rnacentral:rRNA from 1 species